UACGUAGGGCGCAAGCGUUGUCCGGAUUUAUUGGGCGUAAAGAGCUCGUAGGCGGUCUGUCGCGUCGGCUGUGAAACCCCGAGGCUCAACCUCGGGCCUGCAGUCGAUACGGGCAGACUAGAGUGUGGUAGGGGAGACUGGAAUUCCUGGUGUAGCGGUGAAAUGCGCAGAUAUCAGGAGGAACACCGGUGGCGAAGGCGGGUCUCUGGACCGUAACUGACGCUGAGGCACGAAAGCGUGGGUAGCAAACAGG
rnacentral:rRNA from 1 species